UCCUCUCUCUGGUGUGGUCCAUUCUCUGUAAGGUUGUAUGGUAGUUGACCAGAAUGUGCAAUAUUUCAGCAGGUUGAGGCUGUAUACAAGGGUCUCUGGAAGCGGCGUGUCUGGAAACCGUGAAUAAGGAUCUCUGGGCUGCGUGCUUAGGACCUUAUCCGUCCCUUCGAAGGCCCCAAGGCCCCUCUGGAAGCUGUGUGUCUGUAAGCCAUAAAUAGGGAUCUCUGGGCUGCGCGCUCGGGACCUUAAACAUCCCUUCAUAGGACCCAGAGGUUGGGCAGCCCAGAAAUCUUUAUUCGUGGCUUCCAGACAUACAGAUUUCAGAGACCCUUGUAUACA